AGGACCUUUAGGAUCACAGAUCUGUGAGAUCCUACAGUGGAUGGGGUGGAGGGGACCUUUAAGAUCAUACCAGAAUGGGAUCCCAAAAGAGUUGGGUUUUAUGGACGUGAAAGACCAUAGAACUGUGGGAUCCUACAAUGGUUGGGAUGGAGAGGACCUUUAGGAUCAUGGAACCAUGAGAUCCCACAAGGGUUGGGGUGGAAGGAAUCUCAAAGACCAUAACACCACAGGAUCCUACAAGGGUUGGGAUGGGAGGACCUUUAGGAUCAUGGAACCACGGGAUCCUACAAUGGUUGGGGUGGAGAGGACCUGUAGGAUUGUGGAACCACGGGAUCCUACAAUGGUUGGGGUGGAGGGAACCUUCAAGAUCAUAACACCACGGGAUCCUACAAGGGUUGGGGUGGAGAGGAUCUUUAGGAUCAUGGAACCACGGGAUCCUACAAUGGUUGGGGUGGAAGGAAUCUCAAAGACCAUAACACCACAGGAUCCUACAAGGGUUGGGAUGGGAGGACCUUUAGGAUCAUGGCACUGUGGGAUCCCACAAGGUUUGGGUUUUAAAGACCAUACAACCAUGAGAUCCUACAGUGGUUGGGUUGGGAGGAACCUUUAGGAUCAUGGAACCAUGGGAUCCUACAAUGGUUGGGGUGGGAGGACCUUUAGGAUUAUGGAACCAUGUGAUCCUAAAAGGGUUGCGGUGGGAGGACCUUUAGGAUCGUGGAACCACGGGAUCCUAAAAUGGUUGGGGUGGAAGGGACCUUGAAGACCGCAACACCACAGGAUCCUAAAAGGAUUGGGAUGGGAAGACCCUUAGGAUCAUGGCACUGUGGGAUCCCACAAGGUUUGGGUUUUAAAGACCAUACAACCAUGAGAUCCUACAGUGGUUGGGUUGGGAGGAAUCUUUAGGAUCAUGGAAAUAUGGGAUCCUACAAUGGUUGGGGUGGAAGGGACCUUAAAGAUCAUAACACCACCUGAUCCUACAAGGGUUGGGGUGGAGGGGACCUUUAGGAUCGUGGCUGCCUGGGAUCCCACAAGGGUUGGGUUUUAGGGAUCUCAAAGACCACAGAACUGUGGGAUCCUACAGCGUUUGGGAUGGAGAGGACCUGUAGGAUCGUGGAACCACAAGAUCCUACAAUGGUUGGGGUGGAAGGGACCUUGAAGAUCAUAACACCACGGCAUCCUACAAGGGUUGGGGUGGGAGGACCUUUAGGAUCGUGGCAAUGUGGGAUCCCACAAG
rnacentral:lncRNA from 1 species